UACGUAGGGUGCAAGCGUUGUCCGGAAUUAUUGGGCGUAAAGAGCUCGUAGGCGGUUUGUCGCGUCUGCUGUGAAAAUCCAGGGCUUAACCCUGGACCUGCAGUGGGUACGGGCAGACUAGAGUGCAGUAGGGGAGAUCGGAAUUCCUGGUGUAGCGGUGAAAUGCGCAGAUAUCAGGAGGAACACCGGUGGCGAAGGCGGAUCUCUGGGCCGUAACUGACGCUGAGGAGCGAAAGCGUGGGGAGCGAUCCGG
rnacentral:rRNA from 1 species